GGCUGCGCUGGGUCUUUGUUGCUGCAUGCAGGCUUUCUCUAGUUGCGGCCAGUGGGGCUACUCUCUAGUUGUGAGGGCUUCUUGUGCAGUGCUUCUCUUAUUGAGGAGCAGGGGCUCUAGAGCACAGGUUCAGUAGUCGUGGUGCACCGGCUCAGUUGCCAUAAAUCAUAUGGGAUCCUCCCAGACCAGGGAUCGAACAAGUAUCUCUGCAGUACCAGGCAGAUUCUUAACCACUGGGCCACCAGGGAAGUCCAAGAGCAUAAGUUCUGAGGCCAGCAUGCCUGAGUGGGUUUCUACUUUUUCACUCUAAUCAAGUUGAGAACCUAAUUAGCCUUGGGUGGGGCUCCAGCUCACCUGCUACCCUGUGGGGCCCAGUCCUCCACAGAAGGGUGUUCUCUCCUGCAAGUCUGGGGCCAGGGAACGUCAGGGUCUGAAGGACUGGGAUUCCAAGAGGUGACUGACCUCCAGGGACUUCACUGGGCCAUACAAAUGACCACACCAAGGCCUCUGUCCACCCACCAGUGAUGAACCCAGAAAUAUGCUUUCUUGUUUGCCCCAAAACUCAGUUUGAAGAGCAUAUCCAGUGUAUGUGUGGUCCCAUUGUCAUCUCUGUUUUUUUCAAGGAGGCAGGAUAGCUCCAUGAUCCACCUAGAUGGUAAGUGGGGGAAGUGGACUCCUGGGUGGCUCUCCACAACACAGUACUAUCUGUACACCUUCCUUCUCUCUCUGCACACACCUGUAAAGUCUCCCCAGGGCCUGUGAUUAUCCUCAGCUGCCAGGUCAGUUCCCCUGAACUCCUUCAACGGUAAGUCCCACUUCUUAUCUCCUGUGUCUGAGCCCUUUCACUCCCAGGCUGGACCAAUCUCCACAAGAUUGGGAGAGGACUGCAGAAAGGGAAGCCUGACACCCCUGUACAGUGAGGGAAGCAUGGCACAGGGCUGGCCUGAGCCAAGGUCAGGCUCCAAGCUUCUUGUCCUCAGGUCUGGUGAGAGCUGCAGAGAAAGGCAACAGGCAGAGAAACACUGUUCUGUUUUCUUAAGCUCCCAGCUGGGUCUGAGAACACCAAAUCCUCUUUGAGAAAACAGAAAGGGGAUUAAAAAAAAUCAAGAUAUUAACCUUUUGAAAUUGGACACCCCCCUCCAUAUAGAGAUUAAUUUCUCUCCUAAGCGGUUUUUUCAUUUCUAUAAACAUGUUGAUUCAUGCCGGCAUCAUGGCCAGCCUGGAUUACGGAUGGAUGUAGAGACAGAUGACCUCAUCUCAGCCCUGUGCACACCCAGGUGUCUGUGUGCGCGCACACACACACACACACACACACCUGGAAUAGCAGAGAGCCCUGGACAAGGAGUCACAGGUACUGGGCUUUAUUUCCAGCUCUGCUACUGAACCUCAGAUUCUCAUCUGUUAAAGGGAUGCUUGGACCAGCCAGAUUUCUCAGACUCCUUACCAGCUCACUCUCUGUCUCUGCCUGGCAGUGUAGUUGCCCCCUCCACCCCCGAACCCCGCCCUCGGCUUCUCAAGGGCCCUGCAUGUUUCUCCCAGGAUUUCUCUGCUAGCCUUCAGGCCUGAACAAGCACAGGCAGGGCAGGGGAGGGGAAGCAUGCAUUUUGGUUCUGUGUGGGGCCAGAGCAGCUUUUAUGGUUGCUUCAGCUCUGCUAUAAAUGCAAAGUCACCUGUAAAACACCCAGCACGUGAUCUGAGCACAUGGUUGGUGCUUCUCCAAGUCGGUUCUUUCCCUUCCGCUUCCUCUUUUUAGUUUACCUGGGUGCUCACACCCAUCUGAGGCUUGGUUCCUUUCAUCAGCCUCAUCCGCUGGAGAAGCCACAUUUUAUUUUUUCUAAUUUCAGGUUCCCCUCGGUAUGUGUCACGUGGCUCCAGAUGAACUAGUGAAUGGUUCCCAUUGCUUUUAUGAUGAAGACCUGGCUCCUUGGCAUGGCCUGCAGGGGGCUCUUGUGGAUCCGCACUCCCAACUUCUCCAGGCUUGCCUGGCAGUCGUGCCGCUCUGAGCUUUUGGAGCCUCUUUCAUACCCCAUCCUGUCACGCUCCUUCCUCCUUGACUCCAUGUGAAUUCUGUCUCCGCCCAGGUUGACCCGUGUGUCCACCUGGUGCACAUACCUGCUCCUCUGAUGGUCCUGUCUCCAGGAAGUCCUCCUUGACCCCGGGGAGGUUACAUCCCUUCUGCUAUGGUCCGCUGUUCCCCUUUCCUUCCAGUGACAAAACAUCAUCAUAGUGAAAAGACCAGUUGUACCUAAAGCAUCAGAUGUCUACCUUCCUCACUGGACCAUAAAUGUCAGGAGGGUAGGGAUGGGUCAAUGUGUCCAUUUGGUUCAACACUGUCUCCCCAGCACCUGCUCAGUGUCUGGGCUCCACAGUAAAUGAAUGAGUCUAACUGAGUCUAAAAUCACCUCUUUAAACUCGGCUCAGAACCUUCCAUGAGGUCCGGGCAGAACAUUUCCUAAAAUAGCUUCACUCUUCUCUUCUCUCAGUCUGACCUCCCCUAAAGGUUUUCUCUUUUCCCUACUGAUGCCACAGAUUCUCAAAACCUCAAUUUCUUUUUAAAUAUACUUCCGACCUGCCUACACCAACAGCCUAACCAAGCAACAGUUUUCGUAUCCACAUUUCAGUUCCUUCCACCUUCCGGCAAGCCCAAUCAUUUCCAAACCUUGGUUAUAUUCUGAUUCUUGAGGCUGCAGCCAGCUGUGGUUAUUCUCAACUCUUGCUGUCACGGGGGAGGAGGGUAGACGUGGGCUAGCCCUGACUCAGCGAGAACCAGGAGAGAGGUGCUGAGUGUCCUCAAGGGCCUUGGGUAGGGGUGGGCCACUGAGGUGGUCUGGUUCUGGCUGGAGCAGAGGUUAUGUGAAUCCCUAUUAGACAGUCCUUUUGGCCAGUGUUCCUCAAAGGAUGCUCAUAGAACAAUGGUGUCUUGAGAUGUUUUGCAAAAGAAAAAUCCUGUGCUCCAACACAUUUGGGAAAUUCUGAGCAUCAUUCAGAGUUGGUUCUUGUUUGCAAGCUUCAGAUGCCAACUCUGCUAAUUUAAGCUUAAAUAGGAUUUAUUCUAAGAAUCUUGGGUAGCUCACAGAAUCUCCUGUGAGGUCAGAAAACCAAGACUGGAGGCAGAGCAGCCAGGAACAAUGCCCAAAGUCACAUUGUAGCACUGGCCCCAGGAAGACCCUAUGGUUGCUGAUGCCGAACUUGUGCUUUAUGCUUCAGCUUGUGCCACCGGCUCCACCAACACCGGAAGCUGCUUCUAGAACUGCCACCGCUGUAGCCUCUGGGAAAAGACUGUAACUGCUGCCACCACUGCUGCCAUCACCCCCAUCAGAGUGGCAUCUGCACAGUCCCUGCUUCCUGGCAUCAUGGUCUAAGGAUGGAGUGAGGUCACGUGCCUGCGCCAUAGCUUGAGAGGCUGGGAUGCUGUCAAGGCCCAAGGAAUGCCCUGGACACACGGCCAAGUCUGCCCCAACCCAAGAAAGACCCCACCACCAUGCUGCAGGAUGGGUGUCACAGGCCCUCGCAGAGAGAGGCCACCACUCCCUGGCCUUACCUUUGGGGAAGAGAAUUUGGAGCUGCUGCUGCCAGGCUGGAAAAGGAGUGAAGGAAAGCAUGUGUCCUUGGCAACUCAGGUGUCCAUUCUGGAGACUUCUGUGAUCCGGCAGUUUCUGCAUGUGGAUGGCUCCGCUCCUGUGUGCAGCUUCACAUUUGGAGCUCAUUCAUGUGGCUUAGAGUGUCUCUCACUGACCUUGGCUCUUAAGGUUGGAAACCUGGGGCUUUGGAAGUAUAAGAGUGUCAGGGUUAGACAAAUCUGUCUUCGAUCUUGGUUACAGCUUAAUGGUGGAAUGAUCUUGGCCAGGUCACCCUUCUUUCAGAGUUUUAAUUUCAUCAUCCAUGUAGAUUUUUAAAAAGCACUUUAUCUGCCCCUGCAUUUGAUCAUUCUGGAUUCUAGGCCCUAACAGGUGGCUCCUGGGUGAGUAUCACUGAAACCUUCCUGAGGGUUUAGGGGCUCAGGUUCUAGACCCCAGGGUGCAUCUUCUCGGGGCAGGGGAGACAACGGGAAUGAAAAAACAAAGGCUUGAAAAUGCCUUGGAUCCCAACCAGCCAGAGGAUGCGCGAAUGGAAAAUUCCUGCUGUGUGUCAGAGGCCCACCUGGCCCGGGUGACAGCCAGCGAGCCAGACACACAGGCCCCACAGCGGCGUGUUUAGACAGCAGUUUUCCUGCCCUGGUCGGAGUUCACCCUGCCCCCCACCAAUGCUCAUCCUGGGGAGUGGGGAGGGGCGGGGGUCCUCAUCCAGGCCCAGGAAAGCUUCCCGUGUCUUCAUAUCUGAGCAGGGGCUGGGGAGCGGUCAUGGGAGCUGUAGUAGACAGAACGAGCAGCGGGAGGGCUGGGCUUGGCUACAGUCUGCAGUAAGCCCGUCUCUGCGACCCAGUCUAAGCCUCAGAGCCCUUGUCUGCAUGUGUGGGGCUGGACUGGGCAGUCUGCAAGGUCUCCAUCAGCCCUGGCAGAGGUCUACCUUCUCUCAGAGAUCCCACAUCUGCCUUGGGAGAGGCCAAGUCCCCUUUCAAGGGCAGGACCCAGGGGCAGCUCUCGGAAGCUGCCUCCAUCCUUAAGAUCACCAUCCAAGGAAGUUGGCCAAGCCAUGGUCUGGGGCUAUGGGACCUCUCACUUUGCCAGCACUCUGAGUGCCCACUGAGGCUUAAGGGUGAUCCCUGGGAGACAGGCUUGGGUGAGUGUCAUGGAAUGGACCCACCCCACUAACAAACUGGGGGCAGGGGGUGGGGGUGGUAGACCCAGGAGAGGCUAAGAGGAGCCCUGAGCCAUGGGGACAGUGUUGGUCCAACACCAUUUGGGAGAGAGUCCCUGAAUCUGGAGACACUCCAGGGACAAGGCCUCAUGCUCUCUAGUGUGGCCUGGGAAGGUCUCUGGGCAGCACGAUGGCCAGGAUGGAGUGGCCCUCGACCUCACACACAUCCCACACACCCAGCCUCACGUGUCUAGGGGUCCAGGCCACACUGAACAUCUUGGCCAAGGCUGACCUGCAGGUCCUGACUCUUGGGAGUUUGAUUGGCAAGUUGGGCCCAUGGUUUGGAUCAGUUCUAAGAGCCUGACAAGUCCUGGUCUGGCAUAAUGGUCAAUUCAGUAGGGUCAUGCCACUGGGAGGUCCCUUGAUCAGUGCUACUUGGCCUACUGGACCCCCUCCCAUCCCAUCCCCUUGAAUUACCCCUUCUUAACUCAGAUUCCCACAGAGAGAAUCCCACUCAGUGCCUUUUACCUCUCCCCUGGGUGCCAAGAAAAUGUGACAAAUUUCUACCCAAAGACACCACUGCUUCUGAACUUUGCCUAUGCCCAACCUGUCUUGGCCCAGGCCAUCCCUUAAGCACUUACUUAAAGGAAAGUGCUGGAAUGACACUGCAGACAAGCCGGGGCAAGGACAACCCUGGCCCAGACGACAGCUCCCUCUGUCUGGUUGAUUGUACUAGCUCACUGGAGAGGGUUUCCGGUCCUCGUCCUGGCCCACCUCUCCCUUCCUUCCCUCCAUCCUUCUGUCUAAGGCCAGAGUUCUUUCUCUGAGCCCCCUGGUCACUCAGAAGGAGUAGUCUCUUUCUCAGAUCCCAAGUCAGCCCCUCAGCCCUGGGUCACACCUGCCUUCCCUGAGGUCCCAGCUGCGGGUGCUGCCAGGGACACACUCCAGAGAAGUUGUCUGCACAUGCUGCCCACCCCCCCAACUCCAGGGGCUCACAGGGAUUUGGAAGAAAAUCCUUGCUUGCUCCUUGGAAGAAAAGCUAUGACCAACCUAGACAGCAUAUUAAAAAGCAUAGACA